rnacentral:rRNA from 2 species
UGUCGUCAGCUCGUGUUGUGAAAUGUUGGGUUAAGUCCCGCAACGAGCGCAACCCUUAUCCUUUGUUGCCAGCGGUCCGGCCGGGAACUCAAAGGAGACUGCCAGUGAUAAACUGGAGGAAGGUGGGGAUGACGUCAAGUCAUCAUGGCCCUUACGACCAGGGCUACACACGUGCUACAAUGGCGCAUACAAAGAGAAGCGACCUCGCGAGAGCAAGCGGACCUCAUAAAGUGC